ensembl:lncRNA
UGUGGAGCUUUCAGAUACAGACAGAGAAACAGGUGAUGGCUAACCAACCGAACAGAGUAGUGGUGGGCAGGCAGAGGAAGUCCAUAGUGAUAGAAGUCGCUAUACCAAUUGAUGGCAACAUCAGGAAGAAGGAACUUGAGAAGUUUUAAAAGUACAAGGACAAAAACUAAGAACCAAGACAUACCAAAGGCUAAAUCUAAGUACAGCCCCUGUUCCUGGUUUUAUGGUCAUUUGGCCUUUAAAUCUAGAUUUAAAAAGCCACUGUGCUCUUGACAUUUGGGAGAAACUAUGCUUGAUGUUUCACAUACUAUCUUCAAUUUAAAAAAAAAUUUUUAUUCCAUAGGUUAGUUUUUACAGUGUAGCCAAAUUGUUGUUGGUUGUAGCUGUUUUUCUUUCAGUGCAUAAUUCUGCACCCUUGAUUAUAGUCCAAGCUCAGGGUAUUAUUUCCACACCAAGCACCCUUUUCCCAUUUAUAUCAUGGCAGUAUUCAGUGUGUGUGGAGCUGUGAAUGUGUUGUCCUCAGUGUGUAUUUACUGGUACAUGGCUGUUAAUGUGCUUUUCCAAGCAUCGCAAGACACUGAAAUUCAGCAUCAGCAUAAAAUUUGAUGGCAACCCAUUGCAUCAAAGUUAAUGGCAGCAUUAGCCCUGAGCCUUUUGUGACUUAACUUCACAGCAAGAAUGGGUCAUCUCUCAUAUCAAUUUUCAACUCUCUCUGUCUCGCUCUUUCUCUCUCCCUCUUUCUUACUGUGCAUAAUUUCUGUUUAUCUACUCAACCUCUCUAUUUUGGUUCCUUUAAUCAGUUUUUGACAAACAUAUUUUAGGAAGUGACUUUUCUUUCUUUAUUGAAGUGUUGCUUUAGUAAUGCUCUCUGUGUUGAGGAACUAAUUAAACUUUCAUCAGUUGUGUGGAGUAGUUGGAGUUCAUUAGAGUUUUAAAUUCAUUUUCUAUUGAUUUUCUUGUAGCUAUUUUUGCUGGGAGACUCUCUCUCAGUGUCUUGGGGGAUAAUGGUGUAUUUAUUCUAAUUCUUUGUGUCUUGUCUAACACACUAUACCUGAUGAAGGAAUAGUUCAGCAUUUUAGGAAAUUUAGGUGUUUUUUUGCUUUUUGGGGGGAGAGGUUAGAUGUUACAAUGUAAGUCAUUUUCAAAGUUUAACAGUUAUCUUAGUUAAGCAUUGAGAAAAGAAACAGUGGAAAAAGCAGAUACCAGGUAGUCUAAGUAUGCCAAAACUAACAUGUUUAGUUUACAAAAUGGGUAGAUACUGUAAAUAUAGGUUUAUGGAUAUAUUUAAUAUGCUGUUACAUUUAAUCUCAUUUAAUCUAAUUUAACUUCCUGCUGUCCCCCCCCAGCUCCGACACCCAGUGUGUGCAUAUCUGAUGGAGGUGUUUAAACAGUAUGUGGAGAACGGUCUGCAGUUUAUGUUGAAUCAUUGUACUAAGCAAUUCACCAGGUGGGCAUCAGUAAAGCAACUACUCUGUCUUCUUUGCUGGAGGCUUUGCUGCUGGGUAACAGAGUGCCAGACCUCUAAAUAUGGUAUAUUUAACACAAAAUGUAACUGUCACCUUUUCUAUGAUGCCUCAAAAAAUCAGUCAUUUGGUUCAAACAACAAUUUUGUAUCACAGAUUUGACAAUCAAAUAAAAUAGGUUUAGGUUUUACUUAAUUUUUAACCAUGUUGUUACUUACUAAUUGAGAUACUUUAUUUUUGUGUACCUAUUUUUGUUUGGGUGGCAGAACCCCAGGCACCUCAGUAGUGUACUAUGUCAAACCUUGAUAUUUUUGCUGCCUUUCACAGUUAUCAGAGAUCAGUUUGAGGACAACAGCAAUGCUAAGGUAUGAACCUGUGCUUACAUCCACCAAUACGUAUAGAAAUUGGUGAGCUGAAAGGAACUGCAAACUUUGAUAACAUAAACUAAAUUUGAAUAUUGUGAAAGGUUACCAUUUAUAUUUUGGGAAAGGUCAGUACAUCCAACCACAAUAAUGGAGAAGAUGACUAACUUAGAGUUAUGUGGAUGGCAGAUCUUCCGCAAGAAUGGGAAUGUCAUUACUGAAAAGGCUGGCUGUUUAGUACUGUACCGAAGUAUAUUAAUGGAACUUUGAGCUGAAGGGAAAGUGCAACAGGAACAGUGCAAAUGAAACAGGGAUGACCUCGGCCUUGGGAGACUUAUCAGUUUAAGAACUUGGGAAGAAAUAUACAAGGACUGGACUGAAGCUGUUGUCAGUAGAUCAAGAGCUACUUCCCUUCAGGAAAGGAACUACAACUGUUACAUUACUAGGAGUUCAGUCAUUUGCGAGAGGCUCAGAGUAGAGCUGCCACUUCUCCUCGUUGAAAGGAGCCACUUGAGGUGGUUCAGGCAUCUGAUUAGGAGAGCUGGAAAAUUAAAAAAUGAAAAACAAAACAAACAAAUAAAUCAAUGUUAGUUUUCAUGGCUGCUGUCAGAAAGGCUUAAUGGUGGUUCAAAUCAAAGAUGAUACUUUUGGUGUUGGAAUUCAGAGUUAAACUUUGUAUGCAAUUAUUCAUGACAGUGUUCUAAAGAAUUUUUGAGUGACUUGAAAUUUGUGCUAGCUGAGGCUCCCUUAACAGGAUUACUGUCUUCCUGUCUUCAUCGACCUCUCUGCUCAGACUUCCUCUGUCUUCAAUUUUCCUGGAUUCUAUGACCAAAACAUGGUUUUCUGGAAGGAGAUCCAGGGAUACAAAUAAGAUGAGCUACACUAAAAUAAGACCUUUGAAAAUAUGUAUAUAUGUGUAUAUAUGAGACUCUGGUUGCUUGGAGUUACCACCAGCUGGUUGGUAGUAUCUGGUAGAACGUCCCCUCUUUUAGAAUUCUGCAAACAGUGUAAACAAUGUAAAGAUGUUUUAGAUAGACCACAAAAAGGAGCAUUCUGAGAUUUGGGGAAUUAAACAGGUUUGCCUUUGAACUUUGAAAGUCCUACAUGCACAGCUGGGCUAGACUAGCUAAGCAUCAAUCUUUUGUUUUCUAUAUACAUAUAUAUAUAGUUCCCCAAACUACUGCCUACAAGUAGACCAGUUUUAGAACUCACAGAAAUCUCUCUAGACAGAUCUAGUCUGGAUGUCUUCCCUCUUUCCAGUUUUUGGGCAAGGCUAAGCUGUUUAGAAACUGUAUUUACCUCACAGAGAUAAAAUGGAAAUCAAUGUCCUCAUCUAACCGUAGAAAAAAUGUCAGAGGGCCUUUUCGGCUGAGCACAGCCUUCGGCCUUUCGGCAUCUUUAGAUUUGCUUAAAAUUGUUUUUUUGUUCAGUUAAAAAGUGUAGAUAUAGCUCUUUUGUUUUUGCUUUUACUCAGUCAGCAUGAACCUUAUUUGUUCUGUUUGGUGUUUUUAAUGAAGACUGCCCAUUUAUUUAGGAAACCCAUUUAUCUUGUGUGCUAUGUGUGAGGGGUUUUUGGGGUUUUUUCGUUUGUUUUUUUAAGGAAGUUUGCUGCCUUAACCCGUGCUACGAACACACGCACAUGCACACAUGCCCCACAACUGAUGCUUCCUUAGAUUGCUUUCCUAGAUUUUUUGAACAUUUCUGUUCCGUCCUUAAGUGCUCCAUAUCAGUUGAACCUCAAAUUGAACAUCGUUUUAUUUUCAUUGGUGACAUGUUGUCAAGAAAAAGUAAAACACUGUUAGUCUGAUGUUGGUAGAAGUGUUAGUAGCCUUUCUGUGGAAUGUCAAGCUUUAAAGCAACAGCGGUGCUAUUAUUGCUAACUACUGGGGAAAUUUCAUGAAUUUUCUCAUGGGGGAAAACUAUUUUAUGCUUUUUGUCAGUUUUUCAAUAGUCCCUCCAUCCUUUCUGUUUCCUCACAGCAGCAUGUGGUUCUCCACGAGGAGGACACAGCACUGUGAUGGCCAGAUUCACUUGCCACUUCAGCAUGUUGUGCCUGCCAGCAUCCUUGGGAAAUAGCCUCAAACAGAGCUUCAAAGUCAGGAGUCCCCCAAAAUACUCACACAUAUGCACUCACACAUUAAUAUAUGCAAGUACUUCCUUCAGUGAGUUCUCACAUUUGAUUUUUUGACUGUUACAGUUUCUUAGGUAUGUCCACUGCAGUAUUAAUUUUCAGUAUAUUAACCUAUAUGCCAUCUCAUGCUUGUUACAACAUCUUUUCAUACCCAACCUCCUUUCAAGCUAUCCUGAGCAGUUAGUUUUCUCUGGCAGUGAAGGAUUGUGCCAGCAGAAUCUGGAUGCAGCUGUGGAGAUUUACAACCAUUUAAGUGUGGAUCUUCUGCCUACUUCAGCCAAGUCCCACUAAGUUUUAUUCUCUGGGACAUCUCCAAGUGUGUCUAAGGGUCGCGGGGGGCACUGGAGCCUAUCCCAGCUGUCAUAGGGCGAGAGGCGGGGUACACCCUGGACAGGUUGCCAGUCUGUCACAGGGCCAGACAACCAUUUGCACUCACAUUCACACCUAGUGGCAAUUUGGAUUAUCCAAAUUACAUUAUUAUGGACGGUGGGAGGAAGUCGGAGUACCUGGAGGGAACCCACGCAAACACGGGCAGAACAUGCAAACUCCACACAGAAAGACUCCGGCCUGAUGGUGGAAUUGAACUCAGGAUUUUUUCAAGACACAUCAAUCCCUGAGAACUUCCGUUUCUUUCUCAGUUCCAUGCCUACCAAAGUAUUUCCUGUUACAGUGCUCCAGAGCUCUGUCAAGGUGACUAAUGACCCUCCUAAAGGCCUGCAAGCCAACAUACAAUGAGGCUUCACAGAGAUCACCAGCAGUUGCUUUGAAGGCCUCAUUUCACUUCACACAUAAAGAACCUGGUCAUUAGUGCUUUGUUUUCUUGAGUGUUUUACUUUUAUAUGUGGUUGCAUUGUUGUCUGAUCCUUGUGUGUCUUGUAUUGGAAAAAGAAACAUCUGCUACGAGUUCACUGGCAAUGACAGAGAAUGUGCUCUGCUCAACCUCAACUGUACUGCAAAGGUGACAGCAUCCCUUGGAAUGCUCUGAUCUGUGUCACUGGUAGGGAGCAAAUAUUCACAGAAAAGUUGGCUUAUAUAAUAAUUAUAUAAGUUUAAUGUUCAAGCUAAUAAAUUAGGGGUUGUGUGCAUAGCAGGGUUUCUAAAGUAUGCUGUCAUGUGUGAUCAUUCCCAGAUGUAAUGCAUGUAUUAUUUGUAGUUUUGUAUUUGUAUUUUUUUUUUUAUUUUUAAUUAUAUUAUUAUUAUUUUACAUUAAUAGAAAACCUUUUUAAAUUUUCAACCAUGAUUGCAUAUUGAAGCUACAUCCCAAAAAUAUGAACAAAGUCCUAUGUGGGAAGAAUGAUAUGAAACUUUAGAUUGUUCAGCUUUAAACAAAAGAAAACAGGCUCCUUUUGAUCACUAUAUUUGCUUCCAUCAUUGCUGUGUUGUGUGGAAAAGAUACUACACUGUUGUUUUGUAAAUACCACAGAUUAUGAGCAUCACGAUACAAAGUGUUUGCUGAUUUCACAAAGCAGAACAGUUCUGUAACACAAUUUCACUCUGUUCUGCAGCUGUGGUCCCGUGUUUGUUCAGUUCUCACUCAGUGAACUUUUGCUGCUCUCUUCCUCUUGACUGUGUUUAUAGAAAUAAAAUGAAAAAAAAAAAAAAAAACCCAAAACAGAUGUCCCCAUAUAUGCCAAAGCCUGCUUAAAGCUUUUUGCAUGAGAGCACUCGAACGGGGCUUUGCUCUAAAUUCUAUAUAUAUUUGUUUAUUUUCUCUUUAUAUCAUUUGUUCAGUUAUGAAUUUUCAAACUCAUUGAAACUCAUUUAAUUGUAGUUUUAAUCUUCUAAUAUCGUCUGAAAACAGACACAAAUUAAGUUUCAGCAGGAUUUAAUCAUAUCAUUUUCAUAUUGUUUGUCCUUAAUGUUAACAGACACUUUCAAAGUUAUUAUAAAAAAGAAGCUUGCAUCCCUUUCAUUAACAGUUCUAAUCAUAUCUUUGAUGUUCAUUUGUUUCCCUAAUCUGGUUUUCAAUUACACCUCCAAAUAAUUAUGUGGUUCAGUCUCAGUAGAGCGCACCACAUCAAAUUGAUGUCUCUCAUUGUUAUCACACUCCUGUUUUAUUGGUUUAAUCUUUAAUUCUAACAAUCCUUGUGAGCCAGAGCCAUGCAUCCUUUGAGGGGAAGAAUUUAGGCUCAAACAAAGCAUGGGGUAUUGCCUUUCCUCCUUUUGAAGGAGCAGUGCAAAGGAAAAAAGACACUGCCAGCUUUAACAUGCCUGCAGCUUACUGCAGAGAUUAGUCUGAUCAUUCAUUCCAUUUUUUACUGCCUUACAUAACUGAGUGUUUUUACAAAAACUGUGGAUUUUAAGUGUUUGAAUCUUAAAUAUAAUAUACAAUUGUUUUCUUUUGUUCUUUUUUGUAAUAUGGCCAAUUCUGUUUUGAGUAUUCCAUCUUUUUUUCUUUGUACACGGAGAUUGAGUUGGUUUCUUGUCUCUUUCUUGUCACUGUUUCCAGAUUUCAAUCAGAAUGAAUCUUUUUUUCAAUUCCGUUUAGUUCAGUUGCAGUUAAGUUUAUGUAGUGCAAUUAAAAUGAUUAAAAACAUUUUAGCAUUUAAGAAAAUCAAUCAGAUCAUGGUUUGCAACAGACAUGGUAGAAGUAGAAGAUUAAUUACUUUACUUUUACUAAUUAAUGUAAUUAGAAUUGUGAUUGGCGCACAUGCAGCCACACAACUCUGAAGCUGGUAACACGUCUUAGACACACAAAUAUAAUGACACAUAGUCCUUUUUUAUGUAUUUUACAUUUAAUAUAGUUACAUUCAUUAUUUGCAUUUCUUUCUUUUACUGAUGCUUGAGGGUCCAUGUGGCUGCUGAGAGUACAGGAAGUGCUGAUUGCUGAUUGCUGACUCAUCUUAAAUUUUCUUUGACUUGUGAGAUGCAUUUUUUUUGCUUAGUCUUGUGUUUAGUUUUACUAAUUUGAAGUAACUAUGAGACUAACUGUUGUUUUUGUUUCUUCACUGUUAAAUAGUUUGUUAGUAUUUGUAUUCCUCUUAUGCAUCAACCUGGUCUGAUCAGCCAGUAUUCAAAUCUCCUUAAUUUCUUGUGUGUUAGAUCAGAUUUAUUUUGUACAGCAGUCAGCUUCAAGUUAUGUUAAGUUUUUAUUUUGAAUGUAGUUUAGUUUUGUUCAUUUGACUUCUUUUAAGUGCCCAGUGUUAGUUCAUUUUGUAUAUUUCUUUUGCAUUUUUAGGGUAAAUAAAACCCAUCUUUUUC